UGGGUAGUAGUUAAAUAUAAUAUCUGAUUUGCAUUCAGAAGGUGCUUAUAAGUCUUCCUUA
rnacentral:tRNA from 1 species